AGAAUCAACGCUGGCGGCGUGCCUCAGACAUGCAAGUCGAACGCGAAAGACCCCUUCGGGGGUCGAAUAGAGUGGCGCACGGGUGAGUAACACGUGAGUAAUUUACCUUCUCGGUGGGGAAUAACAACCGGAAACGGUUGCUAAUACCGCAUAAUGCAGCGGCAUCUUCGGAUGACAGUUGUUAAAGCGGGGGAUUUGAAGCAAUUCAGACCUCGCGCCGGAAGAGAAGCUCGCGGCGGAUUAGCUCGUUGGUAGGGUAACGGCCUACCAAGGCUUCGAUCCGUA
rnacentral:rRNA from 1 species